GCAAAUUUUGUGCUCUAUGUAAUGAUGUCAGAGUUUUAAGAAAGUAUAGCUUUUUAAAACCUGAGUUGAUUGUGAGACUGUUAUUCUACAAAUAAGUGUAACGGAUAUUUUAAAGAAAAGUGAAAGUGCAUGAGAUAAGCUCCAACCGCCUGUGGAAAGAAUGAAACAAAAAACGCGACACGCUACAAAAGCAAUAGCGCGAAAGAGAAAGAAAGUAUAAUUCAAGUUUGACAAUCACCAACCAAGCAAAUUCGAACCAGCCUCAGCAAACCGCACCUCUACACACCUUGGCUGCAGCGCAUGUAUGACGUUUGCUUCCAGCACGCGCGAAAAAGAGACGGCUAGCACAAUCAAGCGAAAUCAGCCCGCCGUAUAGCACGGGGCAGAGAGAAAGCGCGCAUGCGACGGCAGCUCACCGCAGCAAAGCAAGUCUCGAUCUCGACGCGCACACACAGUCCAGUGGUGACGGCAAAGUGGCUUCAGGAAAAGUUCGCUCGACAAACGCAGUGAAAAACUCAAGGCUUGUGUUUGUGUGUGCGCGCAUGUGUGUGUGAUUGUCUUGUUUUUCCGUGCGUGCGUGCUGUGCUGUGCUGUGUUGUGUUUACGCGUGUCGAACAGCAAAAGGAAAAGCUGUGCCAAAAAAACACAGUCGCUUGCGCACGCCCUGGAGAAGGAACCGUCGAAGCGCAAGGGCGAACGACUGGCAAGUGUGUGAGAGAGUGAGAGAGCGAAAGACCGAGAGCGAGCGGGAGGGAGACGGAAAGACAGAGAAAACUUCCUCCUCUCUACACUCUACACAGCCAUUAUUCAUCGCUGCUCACGCAUCCAAAACGGUGUUUGAUAAGGGUGGUGCGCUGGAAGUGCGCUCAUCUACCCCAGAGAAUCCCGUACACCUACACACACACGCAGCACUGUGUCCCGCCCGUGGUGUGCCCGUUGGAAGUGUGUAAGUCAUCGGGGACGGCGCGCUGUAGCGUUAUCAUUGUCCGUCGU